rnacentral:rRNA from 1 species
CGGACGGGUGAGUAACGCGUGGGUAACCUACCCUGUACACACGGAUAACAUACCGAAAGGUAUGCUAAUACGGGAUAAUAUAUUUGAGAGGCAUCUCUUGAAUAUCAAAGGUGAGCCAGUACAGGAUGGAUCCGCGUCUGAUUAGCUAGUUGGUAAGGUAACGGCUUACCAAGGCGACGAUCAGUAGCCGACCUGAGAGGGUGAUCGGCCACAUUGGAACUGAGACACGGUCCAA